rnacentral:rRNA from 1 species
CAUGCAGGCGGUUCAUCAAGUAGGAUGUGAAAUCCCCGGGCUCAACCUGGGAACAGAUACUAAACUGGUGGACUAGAGUAUUGCAGGGGGAGACGGAAUUCCAGGUGUAGCGGUGGAAUGCGUAGAUAUCUGGAAGAACACCAAAGGCGAAGGCAGUCUCCUGGGCAAAUACUGACGCUCAUAUGCGAAAGCGUGGGUAGCAAACA